GGGGGGGGGGGGGGGGGGGCCGGGGAGAGGCAGGGCGGACGGGGGCGGGGGGGGGAGGGGCGCGCGGGUGCGGGGGGGGGGGGGCCCGGCGCUUGGGUUCGGGAUGACGCGGAGAAGUUGGAGCUAAUCCCGGAUAAGUGGUUCGGACCACAGAUGUAUCGCCUUUGGAUGGGCGCGCGUUGGCUUAGCUAGUUGGUGGGGUAAAGGCCUACCAAGGCGACGAUCCAUAGCUGGUCUGAGAGGAUGAUCAGCAACACUGGGACUGAGACACGGCCCAGACUCCUGCGGGAGGCAGCAGUGGGGAAUAUUGGACAAUGGGCGAAAGCCUGAUCCAGCAAUGCCGCGUGAGUGAUGAAGGCCUGAGGGUUGUAAAGCUCUUUUACCCGGGAUGAUAAUGACAGUACCGGGAGAAUAAGCCCCGGCUAACUCCGUG
rnacentral:rRNA from 1 species